UUAAACAGGAUGCACCAGAGGUCCCAAAAAGUCCGAGGUCGACAUAUGAAGAAAAGGGCUCUCAAGAAUAAAGCUCUUUCCGUUUCAUUUGACGAGAAAGGCCUCAAGUACUCUCUUUUUUAAUAGGGACUAUGUUACUGGGUUUCGCAAGAGGAAGAAGAAGAGGAGACAAGUAGCCGAAAAGAAGCAAGAGGAGGCUAACAGGCUUAAGCGCCAUCAGGAACGCAAAAAGAGAAGAUUGGAAAAAGAGGCUUGCUUUGUAUGGUGGAAAUCCACCAGCCACCAAUUCUGUGCCUGAUGAAAGAGAGAGGAACUUUGAAGAGGAUGAAGAAGCAGAGCCAAUGGCACCAACUACUGGAACAACACUUUUAUGACAAUCGUGACAUGAAAGUCACUGUGACAACUAGUGAGCUCACUGGUGAUUAAGAAAACUUUCCUACUGGAAAUACACCUGCUAGUGUGCUCAGCUCUAGUGGAGUCAACAAAAACACCAUAUACCUGUGAGCAAAAGUAAAUCAUUCAAGAAAGUUGCAAGACAGAAAUCACGGCCAAAGCCACAAAGCAAAAGUAAAAAAAAGAAAGGGAAGAAAAAGAACCAGAAAAGGCGGCAGCUGUUUUCCCUUAUCAUAUCUUUGAAUUUACUGGGUUGAAAUGUUCAGCUAUUAAGAUGAAUAGAGUUUAUCAAGUGCAGCUGCUAAGAUUUCCCGAUUAGCUGCGUAGAAUUUUGGUUGGUGGCCAAGUGCCACUUUUGAAUCCUUACAAGAAAAUUUCUAUUUUUUUUGGCCAAGAAAUUGUUUUUCCUUUCUCUUUUCGAUCUUUUUCAUUUUACCCCAUACAAGAGAUCACUGAUGGUUGGAGACUUUGAGUUGCACCAUUGUUAUUUGUCUAAUGGUUCUGUUAUUAUUGUGGUGCACAGCCCCUUGGAUGAUAUUAUAAUCUGAACCUUGAUGGAUUCUUUGACUCUGGUGAUUUGCUGGAUAUUGGAGAAUUGUAACUUUCUCUGAAACACAAGUUUCCUAUGCCUUUCAUUA